GCCACAGUCACAUCUGUACUCUCUGGUGCCACAGAUCUUGCUAUGAGCUUUCCAAUCUGAUUGAACUGCGUAUUUCUUUGAACAUUUCUCGCACUUCCACUUCUUCUCUCCAUGCUUUCUGCUAUAAUGCUUCUUUAUUCCUGUGAGGUCACCUAGGGCUCUCGAUGGAUCGUGGUGCACACAGCUCUUUUCAGGGCAGAUAUACACCUUUUUGCGAACCUCUUUGGUUGAUCUUUGCUUGAGCUUCCAUGGGAGAUUGUGGCCUCUUCUGUGAAGUUGAAGAUUUUGGUCUCUCUGGAAACCCUUGUUGCAGAUUUCGCAAAUGAAUCUGUUUGUUGCCAUGAGAGAUUUCGGUGAUAAAGCUAUAACUUCUGCAUCUGGAUCUGCUUGAAACAAGUAAAUAAAACCCAGAAAGAAAAUUUAUAACUUUGAAACAAUCAUGCAGAAAUAUAUAUAGGUGAAGAGAAUUUAAGCUUGCCUGGUGUUCCUGGUAAAUUUCUCUUCUUCUUUACAAGAUUUGCAGUAGGGUUAGGGUUAGGGUUUGGAGUUUGUUCUCGAAGAACAAAGCCUCUGAUGGAAGAGGGAACAGAAAACCCAUCUUCAGACAUCAUUGUAAUGGGUAUCCAGAAGUCGAGAGUAAGUGGGUUUGUGUCCUAAAACUAGCUAAAAGAGAAGAAAUAACUGAGGGAGAGAGUAGAGCAGUAGCUACAUAAUUAAACCAAGAAAAUAAAAACAAAAGCUUCACUGCUCAACAUAAUUCCAACAAAUCUCUUAAAAAUUCUUCCCCUUUUAAAAGAAAGAAUUCAAAUUUAGACUUGUCUCCAAUUCCAUAAAUUGCAUCCUUACCUUAACUCAAUACUCAUGCUUAGCUUUGCUUGAAGCCAAGACAAAUACACCAAACAAAACGACACUGCUAACUAUAGAUAGAAUAUUUCUCUCUCUCUC
rnacentral:misc_RNA from 1 species